rnacentral:lncRNA from 1 species
CAUGUUUGGAAAGCAACAAAUAAGAUUACAAAUUACAUCACAUCAGCAGAAUCGUUUACCAGGACUGUGGUCUUGAUUAUGAUUCCACUGGGGUAACUGCCUUUAUCAAUCAUCUUCUUGCCUGAAGAUGCACUUAUAAAGAUACUUGGUACAGCAGAAUGUCCUGAAGGAGCAUCCUGGUAAUUUGUAGGCGCCAAAUAUUUAAUAGCAAGUUCAGGUAGACCAGCAUGUUUCUCAAGUCUAAUGUAUUUAAAGAUUAAAAUGUUAUUUAAUUAUUCCAGUGAAAUUCUCCCAGACAUAACUGAUGCAGAAAUAAAAUACCUGCUUGUCUUUUGAUCUACAGGUUUUGAACUCUGAAUGGACAAUUAAUGUGUCAUAUAUGAAUACUACUUUAUGUCAUAAUUUUCAUCGUUGAAGUUUUUUUAUAUAUAUUAGGAGCAUAAUCCAAACUAGUAUCUCUGUGGAUAUUGCCUUUCUAUGUGCUGAAAAGAAAUGUAUGGGAUUUUGUUAGAGUCUUUCACCCAAGGACUGGAAAAUUGAAGAUAUGGCUGUGGGAACUGAGAAGCUGUGUUAAAAUUACUGGCAGUGGUUUUAAUGUGCAAGACAAUUGAAGAAAGAAGAAUCUGAGCUAUGAAAGAACCUGUGCUGGGAGAAAGAGAUGGGAGUUCUUGAUUGCGCUCUUCUACCAUCACUUUUUGUGUCAGCAGUCAUGCAUCACCCAUUUCAAGCUACAAAUGACAUGUCCCUCCAAGUGUUGGCAUCUGGAGAUAGAGUUGGUUUAAUCCUGGUGUACUACCAUCUUUCUAUGACAGUGACUGCAAGAAAUUGUAGUCUGUUCAUAGUCUUACCAGCUUCUGUCUGAAAUAAAGGUGAGAGAUUGUUUACA